rnacentral:rRNA from 1 species
CCUACGGGGCGCAGCAGUGAGGAAUAUUGGUCAAUGGACGAGAGUCUGAACCAGCCAAGUAGCGUGAAGGAUGACUGCCCUAUGGGUUGUAAACUUCUUUUAUAUGGGAAUAAAACGUUCCACGUGUGGGAUUUUGUAUGUACCAUAUGAAUAAGGAUCGGCUAACUCCGUACCAGCAGCCGCGGUAAUACGGAGGAUCCGAGCGUUAUCCGGAUUUAUUGGGUUUAAAGGGAGCGUAGGUGGAUUGUUAAGUCAGUUGUGAAAGUUUGCGGCUCAACCGUAAAAUUGCAGUUGAAACUGGCAGUCUUGAGUACAGUAGAGGGGGGCGGAAUUCGUGGUGUAGCGGUGAAAUGCUUAGAUAUCACGAAGAACUCCGAUUGCGAAGGCAGUUCACUGGACUGCAACUGACACUGAGGCUCGAAAGUGUGGGUAUCAAACAGGAUUAGAUACCCUUGUGUC